rnacentral:rRNA from 1 species
UGGGGAAUAUUGCACAAUGGGCGAAAGCCUGAUGCAGCGACGCCGCGUGAGGGAUGACGGCCUUCGGGUUGUAAACCUCUUUCAGCAGGGAAGAAGCGAAAGUGACGGUACCUGCAGAAGAAGCGCCGGCUAACUACGUGCCAGCAGCCGCGGUAAUACGUAGGGCGCAAGCGUUGUCCGGAAUUAUUGGGCGUAAAGAGCUCGUAGGCGGUUAGUCGCGUCUGCUGUGAAAACUCGAGGCUCAACCUCGGGCUUGCAGUGGGUACGGGCUGACUAGAGUGCGGUAGGGGUGACUGGAAUUCCUGGUGUAGCGGUGGAAUGCGCAGAUAUCAGGAGGAACACCGAUGGCGAAGGCAGGUCACUGGGCCGCAACUGACGCUGAGGAGCGAAAGCAUGGGGAGCGAACAGGAUUAGAUACCCUGGUAGUCCAUGCCGUAAACGUUGGGCACUAGGUGUGGGGU